CUGUCGGAGGAGGAGGAGGAGGAGGACCGCAUCCUCCUCCUCCUCCUCCUCCUGA
rnacentral:miRNA from 14 species